rnacentral:misc_RNA from 1 species
GAUCGGGUAAGAACUCUCCCCCGACCUCUGUGUUUGGUUCAAAAAUUUUAAAAGAAGGAUCUCGGAUAGGAACUCUCCUCCGAUCUCCGAGUUUUCAUUUGAAUAAGGAUCAGGUAAAAACUUUCCCCUGACCUCUGUGUUUGGUUCAAAAAUUUUAAAAGAAGGAUCUCGGAUAGGAACUCUCCUCCGAUCUCCGAGUUUUCAUUUGAAUAAGGAUCAGGUAAAAACUUUCCCCU